rnacentral:rRNA from 1 species
AGAGUUUGAUCCUGGCUCAGAUUGAACGCUGGCGGCAGGCCUAACACAUGCAAGUCGAACGGUAACAGGAAGCAGCUUGCUGCUUCGCUGACGAGUGGCGGACGGGUGAGUAAUGUCUGGGAAACUGCCUGAUGGAGGGGGAUAACUACUGGAAACGGUAGCUAAUACCGCAUAACGUCGCAAGACCAAAGAGGGGGACCUUCGGGCCUCUUGCCAUCGGAUGUGCCCAGAUGGGAUUAGCUUGUUGGUGGGGUAACGGCUCACCAAGGCGACGAUCCCUAGCUGGUCUGAGAGGAUGACCAGCCACACUGGAACUGAGACACGGUCCAGACUCCUACGGGAGGCAGCAGUGGGGAAUAUUGCACAAUGGGCGCAAGCCUGAUGCAGCCAUGCCGCGUGUAUGAAGAAGGCCUUCGGGUUGUAAAGUACUUUCAGCGGGGAGGAAGGGAGUAAAGUUAAUACCUCUGCUCAUUGACGUUACCCGCAGAAGAAGCACCGGCUAACUCCGUGCCAGCAGCCGCGGUAAUACGGAGGGUGCAAGCGUUAAUCGGAAUUACUGGGCGUAAAGCGCACGCAGGCGGUUUGUUAAGUCAGAUGUGAAAUCCCCGGGCUCAACCUGGGAACUGCAUCUGAUACUGGCAAGCUUGAGUCUCGUAGAGGGGGGUAGAAUUCCAGGUGUAGCGGUGAAAUGCGUAGAGAUCUGGAGGAAUACCGGUGGCGAAGGCGGCCCCCUGGACGAAGACUGACGCUCAGGUGCGAAAGCGUGGGGAGCAAACAGGAUUAGAUACCUUGGUAGUCCACGCCGUAAACGAUGUCGACUUGGAGGUUGUGCCCUUGAGGCGUGGCUUCCGGAGCUAACGCGUUAAGUCGACCGCCUGGGGAGUACGGCCGCAAGGUUAAAACUCAAAUGAAUUGACGGGGGCCCGCACAAGCGGUGGAGCAUGUGGUUUAAUUCGAUGCAACGCGAAGAACCUUACCUGGUCUUGACAUCCACGGAAGUUUUCAGAGAUGAGAAUGUGCCUUCGGGAACCGUGAGACAGGUGCUGCAUGGCUGUCGUCAGCUCGUGUUGUGAAAUGUUGGGUUAAGUCCCGCAACGAGCGCAACCCUUAUCCUUUGUUGCCAGCGGUCCGGCCGGGAACUCAAAGGAGACUGCCAGUGAUAAACUGGAGGAAGGUGGGGAUGACGUCAAGUCAUCAUGGCCCUUACGACCAGGGCUACACACGUGCUACAAUGGCGCAUACAAAGAGAAGCGACCUCGCGAGAGCAAGCGGACCUCAUAAAGUGCGUCGUAGUCCGGAUUGGAGUCUGCAACUCGACUCCAUGAAGUCGGAAUCGCUAGUAAUCGUGGAUCAGAAUGCCACGGUGAAUACGUUCCCGGGCCUUGCACUCACCGCCCGUCA